GAAGACACUCUUCAUCAGAUCUUUUCUUCACUCUCCCUUCGUCAGAUCAUGAUUUGCCGCUCCGUUUGCAAGCUCUUUAACCGAACCUUGACCUCUUCCUCUUUCAUUCACCUCAUCUCCGCCCGAUCCCAUCUCCACCUCCUCGCUCUCCGCCCCCCUCACCUCCACCACCAUCACCACAGCCGCCACGCCUCCCUCCACUCCUGCAUCCACGUGUACGAUCCCGAUCAGAACCAAUGGCUUCGAUUCAGUCUCGAUUUCCUUCCCUUCCG
rnacentral:lncRNA from 1 species